rnacentral:tRNA from 1 species
GCCAGAGUGGCGAAAUUGGCAGACGCGCAGUCUUCAGGAGGCUGUAUCGAAAGGUGUGUGGGUUCGAAUCCCACCUCUGGCACCA